rnacentral:rRNA from 1 species
GAACAGGAAGUAGCUUGCUACUUUGCUGUCGAGUGGCGGACGGGUGAGUAAUGCUUGGGAAUAUGCCAAAACGUGGGGGACAACAGUUGGAAACGACUGCUAAUACCGCAUAAUGUCUUCGGACCAAAGCAGGGGACCUUCGGGCCUUGCGCGUUUUGAUUAGCCCAAGUGGGAUUAGCUAGUUGGUAAGGUAAUGGCUUACCAAGGCGACGAUCCCUAGCUGGUCUUAGAGGAUGACCAGCCACACUGGAACUGAGACACGGUCCAGACUCCUACGGGAGGCAGCAGUGGGGAAUAUUGCACAAUGGAGGAAACUCUGAUGCAGCCAUGCCGCGUGUGUGAAGAAGGCUUUCGGGUUGUAAAGCACUUUCAGUGGGGAGGAAAGGGUGUACGUUAAUAGCGUGUAUCUGUGACGUUAACAACAGAAGAAGCACCGGCUAACUUCGUGCCAGCAGCCGCGGUAAUACGAGGGGUGCAAGCGUUAAUCGGAAUUACUGGGCGUAAAGCGUUCGUAGGCGGUUUAUUAAGCAAGAUGUGAAAGCCC